rnacentral:lncRNA from 1 species
AUGAGCCUGAUUUACAACAGUUUGUCCCUGUUCUCAGCUCCCAUGGAAGGUGAUACUUUUCCUGCCACUCCCAGUGGACAUCACUGUGGGCAGUUCCUGCUGUGGAUGGGAGUGAUGGACCUCUCAAUCAAUGACCUGCAUCAAUAUUUUCCUUCUGCCUGCACGGUGUGGCAGGAAAGGAGCCUGUGCUUGGCUCCAGUCCACCAGCUGGACCAUAAAAUACUUGCAGAGGGAGGAUCCUGUUUCAGCAACCCCUUAGGCUGGAAUUUGUAAGUGAAAUUUGCCCUAAGAAAGGUAAAAGAGCAUCUUUAGGACAGAACCUGCAACACAGCUGGCAUGGAGUGCAGCCUGUGAGGCAGCCCUUCAUCCCUUAGGAGUCUGUAGUAAGGAGAAGUCUGGAAAGCCAGAAAUAAAUGUCAGGGAUUUCCCUAAUAAUAGGGUUAC